rnacentral:rRNA from 1 species
UACGAAGGGGGCUAGCGUUGCUCGGAAUCACUGGGCGUAAAGCGCACGUAGGCGGGUCGUUAAGUCAGGGGUGAAAUCCUGGAGCUCAACUCCAGAACUGCCUUUGAUACUGGCGAUCUCGAGUUCGGGAGAGGUGAGUGGAACUGCGAGUGUAGAGGUGAAAUCGUAGAUAUUCGCAAGAACGACCGGUGGCGAAGGCGGCCCUCUGGACGGAUA